UUGAAGAGUUUGAUCAUGGCUCAGAUUGAACGCUGGCGGCAGGCCUAACACAUGCAAGUCGAACGGUAACAGGAAGCAGCUUGCUGCUUUGCUGACGAGUGGCGGACGGGUGAGUAAUGUCUGGGAAACUGCCUGAUGGAGGGGGAUAACUACUGGAAACGGUGGCUAAUACCGCAUAACGUCGCAAGACCAAAGAGGGGGACCUUCGGGCCUCUUGCCAUCAGAUGUGCCCAGAUGGGAUUAGCUGGUUGGUGAGGUAACGGCUCACCAAGGCGACGAUCCCUAGCUGGUCUGAGAGGAUGACCAGCCACACUGGAACUGAGACACGGUCCAGACUCCUACGGGAGGCAGCAGUGGGGAAUAUUGCACAAUGGGCGCAAGCCUGAUGCAGCCAUGCCGCGUGUAUGAAGAAGGCCUUCGGGUUGUAAAGUACUUUCAGCGGGGAGGAAGGUGUUGUGGUUAAUAACCGCAGCAAUUGACGUUACCCGCAGAAGAAGCACCGGCUAACUCCGUGCCAGCAGCCGCGGUAAUACGGAGGGUGCAAGCGUUAAUCGGAAUUACUGGGCGUAAAGCGCACGCAGGCGGUCUGUCAAGUCGGAUGUGAAAUCCCCGGGCUCAACCUGGGAACUGCAUUCGAAACUGGCAGGCUUGAGUCUUGUAGAGGGGGGUAGAAUUCCAGGUGUAGCGGUGAAAUGCGUAGAGAUCUGGAGGAAUACCGGUGGCGAAGGCGGCCCCCUGGACAAAGACUGACGCUCAGGUGCGAAAGCGUGGGGAGCAAACAGGAUUAGAUACCCUGGUAGUCCACGCCGUAAACGAUGUCUACUUGGAGGUUGUGCCCUUGAGGCGUGGCUUCCGGAGCUAACGCGUUAAGUAGACCGCCUGGGGAGUACGGCCGCAAGGUUAAAACUCAAAUGAAUUGACGGGGGCCCGCACAAGCGGUGGAGCAUGUGGUUUAAUUCGAUGCAACGCGAAGAACCUUACCUGGUCUUGACAUCCACGGAAGUUUUCAGAGAUGAGAAUGUGCCUUCGGGAACCGUGAGACAGGUGCUGCAUGGCUGUCGUCAGCUCGUGUUGUGAAAUGUUGGGUUAAGUCCCGCAACGAGCGCAACCCUUAUCCUUUGUUGCCAGCGGUUAGGCCGGGAACUCAAAGGAGACUGCCAGUGAUAAACUGGAGGAAGGUGGGGAUGACGUCAAGUCAUCAUGGCCCUUACGACCAGGGCUACACACGUGCUACAAUGGCGCAUACAAAGAGAAGCGACCUCGCGAGAGCAAGCGGACCUCAUAAAGUGCGUCGUAGUCCGGAUUGGAGUCUGCAACUCGACUCCAUGAAGUCGGAAUCGCUAGUAAUCGUGGAUCAGAAUGCCACGGUGAAUACGUUCCCGGGCCUUGUACACACCGCCCGUCACACCAUGGGAGUGGGUUGCAAAAGAAGUAGGUAGCUUAACCUUCGGGAGGGCGCUUACCACUUUGUGAUUCAUGACUGGGGUGAAGUCGUAACAAGGUAACCGUAGGGGAACCUGCGGUUGGAUCACCUCCUU
rnacentral:rRNA from 1 species